rnacentral:rRNA from 1 species
UAACCAGGAUUCCCUCAGUAACUGCGAGUGAAGCGGGAUCGGCUCAAUGUGUGAAUCUGGCUUGGGGUACAUCCCGGGUCCGAGUUGUGCACUAUGGAUGCUUCGUCUGCGUUUGUAAAGGCGGUGGAAGUCCGUUGAAACACGGCACCUCAGAGGGUCACAGUCCUGUACCAUCCGUCUGCACUCGCGCCAAUGACAAGUGCUCCUCGAGUCGCGUAGUUUUGUAAUGCUGCGCCAAGUGGGAGGUAGAGACCUUCUAAGGCUAAAUAUGAUGACGUGACCGAUAGCACACAAGUACCGCGAGGGAAAGGUGAAAAGCAACCAUGAAAAAUGGGUUGAAACAGUAGUGAAAUCGCUACCGGGAUAAGGGCUAUCGGGUGCUGGGGCUCUUUGGGUGUGCUUUAGUGCUACCCUCGGAGACGGCCCGCGAGGGUUGAUGUUGGGGCGAUAGACGCGCUGCAGGAAUUCGGCUGCCUUUGGGCAGUGUUGUAGCCUGCGGUUGCUGAUCCUCCUGCGACCUUGUGUGAUUGCGGGU